rnacentral:rRNA from 1 species
GGGAUUCGACUAAGCCAUGCAAGUAUUCUAGCAAUAGAUGCGAAAGGCUCAGUAACAUGUCGCUAAUCUGCCCUAAGGUCAGGGAUACCUACGGGAAACUGUGGUUAACACCUGAUAUUGAAUAGAUACUGGAAUGUUCUAUUCUACAAACUCGAGCCUUAGGAUGAGGCGGCACCCGAUUAGGCUGUUGGCGGUGUAAAGGACCACCAAACCAAUGAUCGGUACGGGCCAUGAGAGUGGUAGCCCGGAGAGGGACACAGAGAUACUGGUCCCAGCCCUACGGGGUGCAGCAGGCGCGAAACCUCUACAAUGCACGCAAGUGUGAUAGGGGGAUCCCAAGUGCUCAAGCAUUGCUUGGGCUUUUUGCUAAGUGUAAAUAGCUUGGCGAAUAAGUGGUGGGAAAGACUGGUGCCAGCCGCCGCGGUAACACCAGCGCCACAAGUGGCAAUCGCGUUUAUUGGGCCUAAAGCGUCCGUAGCAGGUUUUGUAAAUCUCUUGUGAAAUUGCCAGGCUCAACUUGGCAACGUGCAGGGGACACUGCAAGACUCGAGACCGGGAAGGGUUAGAGGUAUUCCUGAGGGAGCGGUAAAAUGCUAUAAUCUCAGGAGGACCACCUGUGGCGAAGGCGUCUAACUAGAACGGAUCUGACUGUGAGGGACGAAAGCUAGGGGAGCAAACCGGAUUAGAUACCCGAGUAGUCCUAGCCGUAAACGCUGUGAGUUAGGUGUUGCGUAUUCUACGGGAAUGCGCAGUGUCGAAAGGAAGCUAUUAAACUCACCGCCUGGGAAGUACGGUCGCAAGACUGAAACUUUAAGGAAUUGGCGGGGGCGCACCACUAGGGGUGCGGCGUGCGGUUUAAUCUAACUCAACGCAGAGAACCUUACUAGAAGCGACGGCAGGAAGAAGGUCAGUCUGAAGGGCUUACCUGACGAGCCGAGAGGUGGUGCAUGGCCGUCGUCAGCUCGUGCUACGAAGUGUCCAGUUAAGUCUGGCAACGAGCGAGACCUGUAUUUGCAAUUGCUACCGGCUCUUCGGAGGACCGGGCACAUUGCAAGGACUGCCUUGGAAACAAGGAGGAAGGUGCAGGCUACGGUAGGUCUGUAUGCCCCGAAUCUUCUAGGCUACACGCGCGCAACAAUGGUAGGGACAAUGGGAUGCAACCCCGAAAGGGGAAGCUAAACCUCUAAACCCUAUCUUAGUCCACAUUGAGGAUUGCAACUCAUCCUCAUGACGACGGAAUCCCUAGUAAUCAGAGUUCAUCAUACUCUGGUGAAUAUGUCCCUGCGCCUUGCACACACCGCCCGUCAAACCAACCGAGCAGGGUUUAGGUAAAAUAAAGCUUAUUGGUUUUAUUGAAUCUAAGCUCAGUGAGGCGGGUUAAGUCGUCACAAGGUA